GACAGAGGGGGCAAGCGUUGCUCGGAAUUACUGGGCGUAAAGAGCUCGUAGGCGGUUUGUCGCGUCUGCCGUGAAAGUCCGGGGCUCAACUCCGGAUCUGCGGUGGGUACGGGCAGACUAGAGUGAUGUAGGGGAGACUGGAAUUCCUGGUGUAGCGGUGAAAUGCGCAGAUAUCAGGAGGAACACCGAUGGCGAAGGCAGGUCUCUGGGCAUUAACUGACGCUGAGGAGCGAAAGCAUGGGGAGCGAACAGG
rnacentral:rRNA from 1 species